rnacentral:rRNA from 1 species
UAAAAACGACUCUCGGCAACGGAUAUCUCGGCUCUCGCAUCGAUGAAGAACGUAACGAARUGCGAUACUUGGUGUGAAUUGCAGAAUCCCGUGAACCAUCGAGUCUUUGAACGCAAGUUGCGCCCGAAGCCAUCCGGCCGAGGGCACGCCUGCCUGGGCGUCACACACC